GUGUCAGCAGCCGCGGUAAUACGUAGGGGGCGAGCGUUGUCCGAAGUUACUGGGCGUAAAGCGCGCGUAGGCGGUUUCUUAAGUCUGGGGUGAAAGGUUCAGCGCUCAACGUGAACAGUGCCUUGGAGACUGGGAGACUUGAGUGUGGCAGAGGAGCAUGGAAUUCCUGGUGUAGCGGUGAAAUGCGUAGAGAUCAGGAGGAAUACCGAUGGCGAAGGCAGUGCUCUGGGCUAACACUGACGCUGAGGUGCGAAAGCGUGGGGAGCGAACGGGAUUAGAUACCCCCGUAGUCC
rnacentral:rRNA from 1 species